rnacentral:rRNA from 1 species
CAGCUCCUACGGGGGGCAGCAGUGGGGAAUAUUGGGCAAUGGGCGCAAGCCUUACCCAGCAAUACCGCGUGAGUGAAGAAGGUCUUCGGAUUGUAAAGCUCUUUGAUCAGGGACGAACAGAUGACGGUACCUGAAGAACAAGCCCCGGCUAACUACGUGCCAGCAGCCGCGGUAAAACGUAGGGGGCGAGCGUUAUCCGGAUUUAUUGGGUUUAAAGGGUGCGUAGGCGGAACAUUAAGUCAGCGGUAAAAUCGAGGGGCUCAACCCCUUUAAGCCGUUGAAACUGGUGAUCUUGAGUGGGCGAG